GAUGAAGAACGUAGUGAAAUGCGAUAAUUAAUGUGAAUUGCAGAAUUCAGUGAAUCAUCGAGUCUUUGAAUGCACAUUGCGCCCCCUGGUAUUCCGGGGGGCAUGCCUGUCCGAGCGUCAUUGCUGCCCUCAAGCACGGCUUGUGUGUUGGGCUUCCGUCCCUGGCAACGGGGACGGGCCCAAAAGGCAGUGGCGGCACCAUGUCUGGUCCUCGAGCGUAUGGGGCUUUGUCACCCGCUCCCGUAGGUCCAGCUGGCAGCUAGCCUCGCAACCAAUCUUUUUAACCAGGUUGACCUCGGAUCAGGUAGGGAUACCCGCUGAACUUAAGCAUAUCAAUAAGCGGAGGA
rnacentral:misc_RNA from 1 species